AUAAGUGCUGUACGGCGAGACUGCGAAUGGCUCAUUAAAACAGUUAUAGUUUACUUGACAGUGGACCCUACAUGGAUAACCGUGGCAAUUCUAGAGCUAAUACAUGCUUCAAGGCCGGACUCGCGGACGGCUGGUUUUAUUAGGUACUAACCAACCCUCGGGUUGCGUGGACUCAUGGUAACUGAUCGGAUCGCUUCGGCGAUGAGUCAUCCAAGUUUCUGCCCUAUCAGCUCUCGAUGGUAGUGUAUUGGACUACCAUGGCAGUCACGGGUAACGGAGAAUUAGGGUUCGGUUCCGGAGAGGGAGCCUGAGAAAUGGCUACCACAUCUAAGGAGGGCAGCAGGCGCGUAAAUUACCCAAUCCUGACUCAGGGAGGUAGUGACAAGAAAUAACAACCCGGGGCUAUGCUUUCGGGAUUGCAAUGAUCGUAAUGCAAAGGAAUUAGAAAGAAACCAUUGGAGGGCAAGUCUGGUGCCAGCAGCCGCGGUAAUUCCAGCUCCAAUAGCGUAUAUUAAAGUUGUUGCAGUUAAAAAGCUCGUAGUUCAACUUCUGUUCCCGCCGCGGGGGGCGACCCUGCGCGGCGGGGCAUCCGCCUGAGUCCCACUCCGGUGUGACAGCAGGCAGUUUACCUUGAGAAAAUUAGAGUGUUCAAGGCAGGGGUAGCCCGGAAUACAUUAGCAUGGAAUAAUGGAAGAGGACUCCGAGCCGUUGUUGGUUGGGGGAGGAGUAAUGGUGAAGAGGGACAGUCGGGGGCAUUAGUAUUUAAUUGUCAGAGGUGAAAUUCUUGGAUUCAUUAAAGACUGACUUCUGCGAAAGCAUUUGCCAAGGAUGUUUUCAUUGAUCAAGAACGAAAGUUAGGGGAUCAAAGACGAUCAGAUACCGUCCUAGUCUUAACUAUAAACCAUACCGACUCGGAGUCAGCCGGGGGCAGUCCCCGCCUGGCACCGUACGAGAAAUCAAAGUCUUUGGGUUCUGGGGGGAGUAUGGUCGCAAGGCUGAAACUUAAAGGAAUUGACGGAAGGGCACCACCAGGAGUGGAGCCUGCGGCUUAAUUUGACUCAACACGGGGAAACUUACCAGGUCAAAACGUGGGGGUGAUGGACAGAUUGAGAGCUCUUUCUUGAUUCUACGGGUGGUGGUGCAUGGCCGUUCUUAGUUGGUGGAGUGAUUUGUCAGGUUAAUUCCUUUAACGAACGAGACCUUACCCUGCUAACUAGCGCACUGUCUCAACACGCGCGCUUCUUAGAGGGACUAUGCGAGUUUAUUGCAUGGAAGUUUGAGGCAAUAACAGGUCUGUGAUGCCCUUAGAUGUCCUGGGCCGCACGCGCGCUACAAUGGCACACGCAGCGAGUCUCCUGAUCCGAAGGGAGCCGGGCAACCUGCGAGGGUGUGCCGUGAUUGGGAUCGACCCUUGCAAUUAUGGGUCGUGAACGAGGAAUUCCUAGUAAGCGCCAGUCAUCAGCUGGCGCUGAUUACGUCCCUGCCCUU
rnacentral:rRNA from 1 species